rnacentral:rRNA from 1 species
UACGGGGGGUGCAAGCGUUGUCCGGAAUCAUUGGGCGUAAAGCGUUCGUAGGCGGCACGUCAAGUUUGGUGUCAAAGCCCGGGGCUCAACUCCGGUUCGGCAUUGGAUACUGGCGAGCUAGAAUGCGGUAGAGGUGAAGGGAAUUCCUGGUGUAGCGGUGAAAUGCGUAGAUAUCAGGAGGAACACCGGUGGCGAAAGCGCUUCACUGGGCCGUUAUUGACGCUGAGGAACGAAAGCUAGGGUAGCAAACGGG